rnacentral:misc_RNA from 1 species
UGUUAUUGUAUUUCCACCCAAAUCUCCAGUGAAACCAAAAUGCAAGGGCUGUCAUCACAAAAAAAAGUUAAGAAAUCAGGUGAGUGAUCAUCAAGUUGAAAGGUAGAGCAGUUUUGGGUUUCUGUAGACAAUAUCCAAGCACUCUUAAGAAUUAUCCAACAUACAUUGUAACACAUGGAAUAUCAACAACAACAAUAACAAGAUGUUCUAAUAAACUAGAGUACAAAAUCAGGCAGGCAUGGUAUUCUACGUACGAAAUAGAUGGCCUUAAAAAAAUUUUCCUUUAUCUUCAACAAAAGUUGGUACUUUUUUUUUUCCCAAAGGCCGUAGAAGAAGAAUAAUUUGAAAUUGCUAAUCAGAUAAUAAUUCAGUCACUUUUGCUACUUAAUAUUUUGUAUCCUAUGUCCUGCAUUAAAUUUAUGUGGUGUCAGCAAGAGGAGCAGACCUGAUGGUGAUGGACAUCCCCAAUAAAAUGGGCUAAA